UGAAAUCCAGCUUUAAAAUAUAAGGAAUGUAACCUUUUUAAAAAGAUAGGCAAGAAAAGGUCAGUCCUUUCAUAGUCCCUGUGGUACCCCCUUCUUUCAGGCCAUUUCUCCUGAGUCUUUGGCGAAUAGACAUCCACAAAGUCCCAGUGGACUUAUCUUGGUAAUUUAAGUCACCUUCGAACAUCCGCCUCUACUCCAGAGUCACACACUGAUUUGGACUUCCUGGAUCUUAGUACUCAGAGAGUCAAUGCAGUACACAAAAUGAAACCAAAUAAUGUCAGGUAUGAUCUGAAAAGAAUGGGCCUAAGAGACUCAUUCCCUAUCCCAUCCUACUAAAGAAAAUAGUAAACGACCCAACUACAGCAGACUCAGGGAAGAGGGAGCCACAUUCAUAUUUUAGAUAAAACCCUUUUGUUUCUCCAUUUAGAGUUUUUCUCUUGAAACUUUUGUUCAAUCAUGUGUCCUUGAGAAUGCCAUUCUACUCCUUUACACACUGGCAGCUUGCUCAUCUUUGAAUGGCAAGGUAUCAGGGUGGGGAGCGGACUGGAAAUGAUGUCUGAAACUCCCUCUAGAGGUUAAUUAGGUGGGCAACAUUCUUGUUACCUGAUUCUCUAUUGCUGCAACCUAUUUAAGUCCACAGAUAACUUCCUUGAGAGUAGAGUCACAUUGUCUGGCUGUCAAAUAGGAUCAGUUAACCAAUGAACUUAUAAUCAUCCACAAGGAGUUACCUAAUUAGGAGUAAGAAAUUAAGUUCAGUGUUGUUCCUUGGCACUAACCCUGACACUACUUCAAGAAUAAUAAAGUCUUAAAAAUCAAAGACAGGACUGACCAUUUAAAUUAUGUGAGCAUUUACUCAACACAACUGGCAUUUACCAAUAAGUGAGCAUUUACCCAGCACAAUAUCUACACACAAUUGCCAUCAAUUUAUGAAAACCUGUUUUAAAUGGCAAAUUUUAAAAUUAGUGAAGUUGGGAGAGUUGUUUCUUACAUAGGCAUUAGGCACUACAGUCACUACGUUAGACAUAAAAUCCACAUAGGUAACAGUGCUCUUGAAAAUCCCAUAAUUUUGUUCAUAAAUUAUAAGAAAUAUUUUUGUAUAUAAUCAUAUGAAUUUCUUUCAUCAUAUUUUCUAACUCUCUAUGAAUAUGUUUGUUUGCUUUAUUUUUUGUGAACUUCAAAAAUGUCAACAACUGGUCACAUGAAUACUGGUUUUCAUGUCUUUAAAAAAUCAGAUCAUUUUUCCAUAUAAUUAACUCUUUUUCAUCUGUUAGUCUGCAACAUGUGCACAUUGAAUUGAAUGAUAUACAGGAUUGAUAUACAGGAUUGAAUGAUAUACAGGAUUGGAACCACCAAUCCUGUUUAACUUGGCAUUGAAUCAAUAAAGACUUUUAAAUUGAAUUGUAUGAAUUUGAAUUUCAAUGAUAGACUGAAGGGAAAAGAUAUUUGGGGGUUUAGCCUGCAGACAAGUAUGGACUCAUCCUCUCAUUUAGC
rnacentral:lncRNA from 10 species